rnacentral:rRNA from 1 species
UACGAAGGGGGCUAGCGUUGCUCGGAAUUACUGGGCGUAAAGCGCACGUAGGCGGCUCUUUAAGUCGGGGGUGAAAUCCUGGAGCUCAACUCCAGAACUGCCUUCGAUACUGGAGAGCUUGAGUUCGGGAGAGGUGAGUGGAACUGCGAGUGUAGAGGUGAAAUUCGUAGAUAUUCGGCGGAACACCAGUGGCGAAGGCGACUCACUGGCCCGAUACUGACGCUGAGGCGCGAAAGCGUGGGGAGCAAACAGG